rnacentral:rRNA from 1 species
GAUCAUGGCUCAGAACGAACGCUGGCGGCAGGCCUAACACAUGCAAGUCGAGCGCACCUUCGGGUGAGCGGCGGACGGGUUAGUAACGCGUGGGAACGUACCCUUUUCUACGGAAUAGCCUUUGGAAACGAAGAGUAAUACCGUAUACGCCCUUUGGGGGAAAGAUUUAUCGGAGAAGGAUCGGCCCGCGUUAGAUUAGAUAGUUGGUGGGGUAACGGCCUACCAAGUCUACGAUCUAUAGCUGGUUUUAGAGGAUGAUCAGCAACACUGGGACUGAGACACGGCCCAGACUCCUACGGGAGGCAGCAGUGGGGAAUCUUAGACAAUGGGCGCAAGCCUGAUCUAGCCAUGCCGCGUGAGUGAUGAAGGCCUUAGGGUCGUAAAGCUCUUUCGCCUGUGAUGAUAAUGACAGUAGCAGGUAAAGAAACCCCGGCUAACUCCGUGCCAGCAGCCGCGGUAAUACGGAGGGGGUUAGCGUUGUUCGGAAUUACUGGGCGUAAAGCGCACGUAGGCGGAUUGGAAAGUUGGGGGGUGAAAUCCCGGGGCUCAACCCCGGAACUGCCUCCAAAACUAUCAGUCUAGAGUUCGAGAGAGGUGAGUGGAAUUCCAAGUGUAGAGGUGAAAUUCGUAGAUAUUUGGAGGAACACCAGUGGCGAAGGCGGCUCACUGGCUCGAUACUGACGCUGAGGUGCGAAAGUGUGGGGAGCAAACAGGAUUAGAUACCCUGGUAGUCCACACCGUAAACGAUGAAUGCCAGUCGUCGGGCAGUAUACUGUUCGGUGACACACCUAACGGAUUAAGCAUUCCGCCUGGGGAGUACGGUCGCAAGAUUAAAACUCAAGGAAUUGA